CGCGCGUCCGGAAGUCCCGCCCCCCUCGCAGGCGCGCGUGACGCACGGCGCGGGCGCUGACGGCAUUAAAGGGCGACGCCGGGGAGGAAGCGAGGUGGCGGUGGCGGUGGCUUGUGGGCCUGCGUGUGCUGUCCCGGCGGCGGGCUGGCACCCGCGCCCGCCUCCAGGCUCCGCUGCUGGGCCAGACGGCGGGGGUGGCGCGCUGAGCCCGGCGCAGAAAGAUACGCCCGGGGUUUCAGAGUCGAUGGAGUGUAUUCAGCUGUUAUAUUAUUUAUGACUCUCUGGAUGUCGACGAAAUGAUUGACAACACGUGAUGAUUACGGAGCCUCCACUGCUGUGUCCGUGAGCAGACUCUUGGAAAAGCCUGCAUUCGUGCAACAAUGAAUGAGUGAUGAGCUACCUGGUGGACCGGCCCGGACUCUCAUCUCUCAUCUAGAGGCUUUAGAACCUCGGCCAACACACCCUUCUCAGGUCACGGCUGCUGUUCUUGUCCACAUCCCAUCAAAACUGGGCAGAGAGGCAGGCUCAGGCCAUCGGGAGUUGCCUGAGGCCCACCCACGCUGGGAAGAGGGUCUGCUUUGCUGGGCCUGCCAAUUCAAAUUCAAAUUUCAUCUGGAAACACCAUCACAGAUAUACCCAGAAUGAUACUCAACCUGGGCACCCCACGGCCAGUCAAACUGACACAAAAAAUUACCCAUCCCCCAGUAAGCCUCCUACAGGAGCAAUUCCUCAAGUCCACUGUCUCAGAUGAGACAAAUGUCCCCAAGCUCAGGCUUGCUGCCUCAUGGUCACAAGAUGGUGUCACAACUCCAUCUAUCAUGUGCUCCUGCCAGUAUCCCAGCCAGAAAGGGAGGGAAGGAGGCCAAAGAAAAAAAAUAAAAAGAUAAAAGAUCUCUCCAGAAAUCCUGUUUUAUCCAGGAAGGGCAGUCCCCCCAGCCGGCUUCCUUGUGAGCCAGAACUAAGUCAGCCCCAAUCACUAGGGAGAGCGGACUGCUGGCCGGACUCCUUGGAACUUCCCCUGUGCGGCCAGGGGAGGAGUCACUGCCCAUCCGAGCUACAGGCCCCAGCCCACGACAAUUUCCAGCUUCUGUUUGCAGAGAGGAGGGCGACUGGCUGGGGAAGUAUCAGUCGGUGCCCCUCAAGGCGGGAGAGGUCAAGGGCAUGGGGGGGUGGCGGGGGAGACGCCGG